CCUAUAAAUAUUUUUUUUCUGAAAAAAUUGUUUAAAAUAAGUAUUUUAAUACUUAUUGUGGUAUUACUUAGUCCUGAAGUACUAAAAAUAUUUAGGCAGUUUUGAAGGCUUGAAGAUACUACCAGAUGACCCAGGAACAUAUGCAGAAAUUAUUGAAGACAGUGAUCCCAAGUUUCUGCCCAGUUCUAAAGAACUCUUUUAAAUUCCUUGCAAGGCUGUAAAAAAGAAACGAAAUCUGUUCCUUACAAAGAAUGCAAGUUUGGCCAAACACCAAGAUGUUGCUGCAUAGAGAAAAUAAAACAACCAGAGACAAAACCACAACAGAGCUGCUUUCAUCCCAGAAUGUUCAAGGACAGAAAGAAUAAGGACUAGGACAUGACCAGGCACGGGGCAAAGGAAGAGUAAUCAAGGGAGUCGAGAGAUUUUUAUUUUUUACUUGACCUUGUGUGAACUGUUAAUCUAAACCUAGAAAUGCUGACUUCAUCUGAAGAAUCAGAAACAGAUUUCUCCAGUUUAUUCAUUUAUUCAGCAAAUAUUUAUUGACCUUCUGUUAUGUUCUUGGCAUCAUUAUAAAUACUUGAGAUAGAACAGCAAACAAGAGGCACAAAUUCCUGCCCUUAUAGAACAUAUAUUGAGAGUGGGGAUGGGGUAGGAAUGCGUACAUACAUUGUACAUGUUGCAGUGAGUCUCUGUUAGGUGGCUGCUUUUCUCAGUUUAACCUUUAGCUGUCCAUACCUGCUGGAACCUCCAGGUUAAUGCUGCUGUUUAGGCCCAUUACCCUUUCUGAGACCCUUGUUAGUACUUAAAUAACAAAAUCUUCUUGUAUAUGAAUUGAUUGAUUUGUCUUCAUAAGUAGUAAAGAAAAGAAUUAAAAAUAGACCCAAAUUAUAUGGAAAUUUAGGACAUUGGUAUGAUACCGUAAACAAAGGAGUAUAGUAGUGCCCAUCCUUAUCGGCAGUUUUGCUUUCCACACUUUCAGUUAACCAUGGUUAACCAGAGUCUGGAAGCCAGUAAUCGUUCUGACAUAUCAGAAGGUUAGUAGUGGCCUGAUGCUGUGUCACAAUGCCUAUAUCAUUCACCUCACUUUCUCAUCACAUGGGCAACUUACCAUCUUAAAACCAUUAAUACAGUAUAAUCAGGUAUUUUGAGAGAGAGAGACCAUGUUACAAAACUGUUACAUAGACAUUGUUAUAAUUGUUCUAUUUUAUUAAUAGUUAUUGUUAAUCCUUAUAAUGCCUAAUUUAUAAAUUGAACUUUUUCUUGGGUUAAAAAAAAAUAGUGUACAAAUGGCUUGGUACUAUCUGUGCUUUCAUGCAUCCACGGAGGGUUUUGGAAUGUAUCCCUGGUGGAUAAGAGGGUACUACUGUCAUAGUCUUGGAUCCUAAAGUUAAUGUGGGUAAACCUGAAAAUACUAAAAUAGAGAAAAAUGGUAGAAAGGAUAAAUAAAAAUGAAAACUGAUUUGAGAUGAUCGACGAAAAGGUAAACCCUUUGCAGUAUCAGUGAAGGUGUAAGAGAGCAAAUGUGUAUCAGCUAAAGGAUGAAAAAGGAGAAAUAAUACAGGUAUAAAUGAAAUUAAAAGAAUUAUAUGUGAAGAUAUCUUUGUAAUAAAUUGAAAGCCCAGAGAUAGUAGCUAAUUUUUCAUGAUAGAUGGAGAACUUAAAUACAUUGAUAAACAUCAAAGAGAUUGAAAAGGUAACCAAGAGAGAAUAUUCAAAAAGGCAUAGAUGAUUCAAAAUUGAAUUCUUUUUUUUUUUAAAGAUUUUAUUUAUUCAUUU